UAGGGAAUUUUGCGCAAUGGGGGAAACCCUGACGCAGCAACGCCAUGUGUGGGAUGAAGCAUUUCGGUGUGUAAACCACUGUCAGCAGGGAAUAAAAGGCUCGUAAGGGCAUUUGAAUGUACCUGCAAAGGAAGCGCCGGCUAACUUCGUGCCAGCAGCCGCGGUAAUACGAGGGGCGCAAGUGUUGUUCGGAAUCACUGGGCGUAAAGGGAGCGUAGGCGGGCUUUUAAGUUAGGUGUUUAAUCCCGGGGCCCAACCCCGGACCGGCACCUAAAACUGGGAGUCUUGAAUAGUGGAGAGGUCAGUGGAAUUGGGGGUGUAGCGGUGGAAUGCGUAGAGAUCCCCAAGAACACCAGUUGCGAAGGCGGCUGACUGGACACAUAUUGACGCUGAGGCUCGAAAGCAUGGGGAGCAAACAGGAUUAGAUACCCCCGUAGUCC
rnacentral:rRNA from 1 species